CGUUUGAUCGCCCGCAUCGAACGACUGCCGUCGUCGCCUCGGGGCGUCACGUCCCUCGGGACGGCCGACCCCGUGCGGCGCCGGCGUCGGUGAGGAAUGC
rnacentral:misc_RNA from 1 species